rnacentral:rRNA from 1 species
AACGAACGCUGGCGGCAGGCUUAACACAUGCAAGUCGAACGCCCCGCAAGGGGAGUGGCAGACGGGUGAGUAACGCGUGGGAACAUACCCUUUUCUACGGAAUAGCUCUGGGAAACUGGGAUUAAUACCGUAUACGCCCUACGGGGGAAAGGUUUAUCGGGGAAGGAUUGGCUCGCGUUGGAUUAGCUAGCUGGUGGGGUAAAGGCCUACCAAGGCGACGAUCCAUAGCUGGUCUGAGAGGAUGAUCAGCCACAUUGGGACUGGGACACGGCCCAAACUCCUACGGGAGGCAGCAGUGGGGAAUAGUGGACAAUGGGCGCAAGCCUGAUCCAGCCAUGCCGCGUGAGUGAUGAAGGCCUUAGGGUUGUAAAGCUCUUUCACCGAUGAAGAUAAUGACGGUAGUCGGAGAAGAAGCCCCGGCUAACUUCGUG